AAGGCUCGAGCGAGAAAAUGGUGCCCUCUCCGUGGCAAAAAAUGAGGGCCUCUCCAUGCGACACGUAUCGAGGAACCUCACGGAGACAACAUUAGGUGGUCGGGGACUGCCAAGUUAGCGUGGUCCCACUCAUGAAGCUUGUGGGGCCGGCUCGUCAGGAUGAAAAUUUUGCACAAAAAAAUAAUAUUCAUUAAUUCUCCGUAGCCCUGCACUCUACCCCCCCUCUCGCUCCUUCUGCACGCAUUUAUUUCUUCUCUCUCUUCUUUUCCUUCAUUUUUGCAUUGAAGGAGAAAACCCACCGCUCUUCCUCUCUCUCUUUCAAAUUUAUUUUGAAUCUCUGCGAUUUCGCUCUUAAAUUUCGUUCGGCUUCCUCGUUUCUUUGCCCCUGCUCCGACGAAACCAAGGUUUGGGUCCCUCGUCCUCGCUCUCUGCUUCGGCGCUCGCUCCGUCUCUGCUCUGGCGCAGCUUUCCUUCGCCCAUUAAUAUGCUGGGGCGGCCGAGAUAUGUGGAUCCCAUUUUCACUUCAUUCAGGUGGUAGGCAGUGGUGAAAUUUCGCAUAGUGCUUGAGAUGGUGGUCCAGAAGAACGCCCAGUAGUUCUGGCCGGGCGCUUCUGGACGAACGCGUAGGGAUGAGCUCAACUAUAGUUCCUGACCAGCAUCAUCAGUCCAGCAGCCGAUCCAGCCUUGGUUCUGAUAUGGCUGCAUCUCCUUAUGCAGGAAGUGAAGAUAGCCAUUUUCGUAGAGCAAAAUAGGAAUUGCAAUCAAUGGUCAAAAGCCAUUUGAAAAGCCUUUUGAGAAAAAUUGAUUUAGGUAUGCGAGUUAUAUAUAUGUUCUACUAGAUUUUUGGUCCUAUUAUUAUACAUUUUAUGCUCUAGAAUCCCGUACUUGUUCUCUUUAUGAUGCUUUCUUUCAAGUGUUUAUUGCAUUUGUUUUUUCCUUGGUGCGCAAGGUGCCUUACAUGUGGUGAACUUAUCGAUAUAAUCGUCGAUGCAAGUCAUGGUGAGUUUAAGGAAAUAGCGAGGUGUUCCACUCAUACUAUAUUGGCUGCUUGUGGCCUUGAGCACAGGAGGAGCGAGGUCUACACGAUUCCUCCGCCAUCCUUUUGUUCCCACAUAGACAAAAUGGCAACUAGACAAACAAGUCUGAUGAGAGGAGUUUGCUCAACAUGUUUUGAUGUUUUCGUCAGAGAUGUAACCCAAAACAUAAUGUAUACAGGACUACCACCGCGUUGGUUAAGUUUAGGUCUUUACGAAUUGAUAAACAUGGCCUGCCAUUUUUUGCAUGCCCAUCCUUCUUUUUGGGGAGAUUUAGAUGAGAAGUAGGGGGAUUUUUGUCCAUACUGAUAACUAUUCGUGAUCCCAAGAGGAUCCAUUUUUCUGUGAUUA